UACGAAGGGUGCAAGCGUUAAUCGGAAUUACUGGGCGUAAAGCGUGCGUAGGCGGUUAUUUAAGUCUGCUGUGAAAUCCCUCGGCUCAACCAAGGAAGUGCAUCCAAAACUGCGGAGCUUGAGUACUUAAGAGGAUCGCGGAAUUCCCGGUGUAGAGGUGAAAUUCGUAGAUAUCGGGAGGAACACCAGUGGCGAAGGCGGCGAUCUGGGAAGAUACUGACGCUGAGGUGCGAAAGCGUGGGGAGCAAACAGG
rnacentral:rRNA from 1 species